CAUAUAUCGAAUAAAAACCAAAAUAACAAUAAAAUAAAAUAAAAUGUCUCUCGCCUCUCGCCUUCUAAAUACACCCACCACCACCAGGCUCUCCUCCAAUCUUCCGUCCUCAGCUUCUCCUCGCUAUUCUCACUUCCUCUCUUCCCAUUUUGCUCCUCCCUCUCUCCUUCGAUUCCCUCUCAGCUCUUAAGCCUUCUUCUUCGUCUUCCUUCUCCAGGGUAUUUUCGUCUCCUCCACCUGCAACCACCUCUACUUCCACCAUGGGUGAUGCUCCUGAUACUGGCAUGGAUGCUGUCCAGAGACGCCUCAUGUUUGAGGAUGAAUGCAUUUUAGUAGAUGAGAACGAUGGUGUUGUUGGUCAUGCUUCCAAAUAUAAUUGUCAUUUGUGGGAAAAUAUUUUGAAGGGGAACGCAUUACAUAGAGCUUUUAGCGUAUUUCUCUUCAACUCAAAAUAUGAGCUACUCCUUCAGCAACGCUCUGGGACAAAGGUGACAUUCCCGCUUGUAUGGACAAACACUUGCUGUAGUCAUCCUCUGUACCGUGAAUCUGAGCUUAUUGAUGAGGAUGCUCUUGGUGUGAGAAAUGCUGCACAAAGGAAGCUUUUCGAUGAGCUUGGUAUCCCUGCUGAAGAUGU
rnacentral:misc_RNA from 1 species